rnacentral:rRNA from 1 species
AAGCUCGUAGUUGAAUUUCGGCAUUAGUGCGCCGGUCGUGCCUUCGGUAUGUACUGGUGUUACUGGUUCCUACCUUCUGACGAACCGUCAUGUCAUUAAUUUGGUGUGGCGGGGAAUCAGGACUGUUACUUUGAAAAAAUUAGAGUGUUUAAAGCAGGCUCGCGCUUGAAUACAUUAGCAUGGAAUAAUGAAAUAGGACGUUCGAUCCUAUUUUGUUGGUUUCUAGGAUUGACGUAAUGAUUAAUAGGGAUAGUUGGGGGCAUUAGUAUUCAAUUGUCAGAGGUGAAAUUCUUGGAUUUAUUGAAGACUAACUACUGCGAAAGCAUUUGCCAAGGAUGUUUUCAUUAAUCAAGAACGAAAGUUAGGGGAUCGAAGACGAUCAGAUACCGUCGUAGUCUUAACCAUAAACUAUGCCGACUAGGGAUCGGAUGAUGUUAAUUUUUUAAUGACUCAUACGGCGCCUUACGGGAAACCAAAGUGUUUAGGUUCCGGGGGGAGUAUGGUCGCAAGGCUGAAACUUAAAGGAAUUGACGGAAGGGCACCACCAGGGGUGGAGCCUGCGGCUUAAUUUGACUCAACACGGGGAAA